UUCACCAAGAAAAGAAGUGCAACAUCUUUAUCUUAACAGAAAGGGCUACUACAGUUUAAACGUGAUGAUUCUUUGUGAUUAUAAAAUGUCUAUUCGGUAUGUGGAUGCUAGGCAUGCAGGCGCAAAUCAUGACUCUUUUGUUUUCAAUGUUAGCGAUUUGAGAGUGCAUUUACAGAACAACAUACAGAAUAACACUUGGAUCUUGGGCGACGCUGGCUAUCCUCUGCACAAAUUUUUAAUGACGCCUUAUCGCUUGGCGGAAGCUUCUUCACCCCAAGCACGCUACAAUACAGUACACUCAAAGGCCCGGAAUAUUGUAGA